rnacentral:rRNA from 1 species
UACGGGGGGGGGCAAGCGUUGUUCGGAAUUACUGGGCGUAAAGCGCACGUAGGCGGCUUUGUAAGUCAGGGGUGAAAUCCCGGGGCUCAACCCCGGAACUGCCCUUGAGACUGCAUCGCUUGAAUCCAGGAGAGGUGAGUGGAAUUCCGAGUGUAGAGGUGAAAUUCGUAGAUAUUCGGAAGAACACCAGUGGCGAAGGCGGCUCACUGGACUGGUAUUGACGCUGAGGUGCGAAAGCGUGGGGAGCAAACAGG